rnacentral:rRNA from 1 species
UGCAGUCGAGCGGGCCCUUCGGGGUCAGCGGCAGACGGGUGAGUAACGCGUGGGAACGUGCCCUUCGGUUCGGAAUAACUCAGGGAAACUUGAGCUAAUACCGGAUACGCCCAUGGCCUCUGGCCCUGGGGAAAGGUUUACUGCCGAAGGAUCGGCCCGCGUCUGAUUAGCUAGUUGGUGAGGUUAUGGCUCACCAAGGCGACGAUCAGUAGCUGGUCUGAGAGGAUGAUCAGCCACACUGGGACUGAGACACGGCCCAGACUCCUACGGGAGGCAGCAGUGGGGAAUAUUGGACAAUGGGGGCAACCCUGAUCCAGCCAUGCCGCGUGAGUGAUGACGGCCUUAGGGUUGUAAAGCUCUUUUCUCCGGGACGAUAAUGACGGUACCGGAGGAAUAAGCCCCGGCUAACUUCGUGCCAGCGGCCGCGGUAAUACGAAGGGGGCUAGCGUUGCUCGGAAUCACUGGGCGUAAAGGGCGCGUAGGCGGCUGAUUUAGUCGAGGGUGAAAGCCCGUGGCUCAACCACGGAAUGGCCUUCGAUACUGAUUGGCUUGAGACCGGAAGAGGACAGCGGAACUGCGAGUGUAGAGGUGAAAUUCGUAGAUAUUCGCAAGAACACCAGUGGCGAA